rnacentral:lncRNA from 1 species
GAGGAUGUUUACCUUGGUCACAGGGGAUGGGCCAUUACCAUUGUGACGUCGGCGCCCAUGGGUACUCUCCCUUUUCGAAACGUUUUGAAAGACAAUGCAACCGUCCCAAUGGAAUAUUAUUGAAGCCCUGGUUGAAAAAGCCCCUAAAGCCUUCGGAGCGCGCUAACACUAUUGGGACAUAAAUUAUGAACUUUUUUGAACAAAACUACAUUUGUUAAGGACCUGGGAUGCCUAGAAGUGCCUUCUGAUAAAGAUAAUCAAAGCUAAAGUUUGGAUCGCUGCAUCAAAAAUUCUAAAAUUCUAGUACACUACCAUUAACAACCUUGCUUGACCAAAAAAGAAAACUAAACUCAAACACAUAUUGGAAAAUUAUUAGAUUCUACAGCUAGUACAAUAUGAAAAUGAACAGAACAAUGUGGGAUACUUUCUAUUCAGUCUGCUGAAACUCACAGCCAGUCCUUACAGAGCCGAGCUCCACUGAGUAGACACACACACACACUUUUCCUUUCUCUCUCUCUCUCUCUCUCUCUCUCUCUCUCUCUCUCUCUCAUUCCUUUUCUUUUCAGGCCAUUCUGCAGUACAAUCCCUCGUUCUCUGAGUUCCUCUGAGAAACAGACUGGGUUUAACCUUUGGAGAGCCUGCAGCAGAUGGCUGUAGCUUACGUCUGUAGACCGCCUGAGAGACCAGAAGAGUCAAAGUGUCUGUCACCACCAGACACCAAGUCAGAUCUACACAGCCCUGCAGAGAUCCAAGCUGGAUAUGUCUGUCUGUAUGUCUGUCUGUGUCUGUCUGUCUCCUGGGUCGCUGUACAGAUUAUACUGGACAUAUUGUAUCCACCAUGUGUGUUUAGUCAACACUAGCCACAUCUGUAUUUGCUUUUAGCCUUUAGUGGGAAGGUGUGGGGGGUAAACUGAGCUGCCUUUCUUGGCCAAUGAUCUCUUGAGAAAGAAGUCCUGACUCAAUAGGACUUGUUAAAUAAAGGUUCAUAAAAAAAUCGAAUUAACUUUACGUUGGAACUGUUUCCACUUUCCAGGCCAUCAUGUCUUCUUUGCUUGUGUUUUAGCAUUAUCCAUCGCCAUCACUGGGAAGGUGGUAUAUGUGUCUUGAAUACACUCAGUAACACUCAGUUGUCAUGACGUUGCCCUCUUUGGGUACAGCGAGCAAUAUUCCCCCCUCCCUCUGCACCAGCCCUUUUCUAUGCACCAUCCCACUAACUCUGUCUCCCACACCCAGGCUGCUGUGGUCAGAAGAGGUCAUAAAUUCCUAGAGAAGAUCCUGCCUCAUGGCCAGACAGUAUAGAGAGAGUGAGUUUUCAUAG